rnacentral:rRNA from 1 species
UACAGAGGCCCCGAGCGUUACCCGGAAUUACUGGGCGUAAAGAGUGCGUAGGUUGUCAUAUUAGUCGCUCGUUAAAAACCAGGGCUCAACCCUGGAAGUGCGGGCGAAACGGUAUGACUAGAGAGCGUGAGAGGUGCAUAGAACUCUAGGUGUAGGGGUGAAAUCCGUUGAUAUCUAGGGGAAUACCGAAAGCGAAGGCAGUGCACUGGCGCGUUUCUGACACUCAAGCACGAAAGCGUGGGUAGCGAAC